rnacentral:rRNA from 1 species
UACGUAGGGCGCAAGCGUUAUCCGGAAUUAUUGGGCGUAAAGAGCUCGUAGGCGGUUUGUCGCGUCUGCCGUGAAAGUCCGGGGCUCAACUCCGGAUCUGCGGUGGGUACGGGCAGACUAGAGGUAGAUAGGGGAGAAUGGAAUUCCCGGUGUAGCGGUGAAAUGCGCAGAUAUCGGGAGGAACACCAGUGGCGAAGGCGGCUUCCUGGACCUGUUCUGACGCUGAGGAGCGAAAGCGUGGGGAGCGAUCCGG